GACACUCCUCGGUUCUGAGCUCAGCUGCGGACUGGAUGGUGAAAGACAGCGGCAGGAGGAGGAGGAGGUUCAGAUUUGGAGCCUCUGGACGGACCUGACAGGCUUCUAGAAUUUAUCUGAAUUGGAUUGAGCUGAAAUAAAGAGGGAAGGAUCCCAAAUCAUCUACUGAAAUCUUCUUUAAGGGAGAGAACAAAAGGCACGUCCUCUCACCAGCACACCUUCCAUCCCUGGACAGCACUUAUGCCUCAGCCCUCCCUCCUUCCCCAUGCUGUUGAACGAACCAUGUGGAACAAGCGAUAAAGUAAACUUGAGACCCAACUUUAAUUCUCUACCUGAAAGCCAGACAGUCAACUCUGCUCACCUGAUCACUCCUUGCAACCGUGUCCCUCAAAAAUAAUCAGGGCACAUCCUACAAAGAAGGGGAAAACGGAAGGGUCUCCCUAAUCAAGAAACUCUAAAACUUAACUGAAGUCCCCAAACCCUACAAGUUAUUUGGAGAGUCUUCCUCAUUCCUUUUUUUUUUUUUUUUAAUUUUUUUUUCAACGUUUAUUUAUUUUUUUUGGGACAGAGAGAGAC